UACGUAGGGUGCGAGCGUUAAUCGGAAUUACUGGGCGUAAAGCGUGCGUAGGCGGUUCUCCAAGUCCGUUGUGAAAGCCCCGGGCUCAACCUGGGAAUGGCAGUGGAAACUAGGGGACUGGAAUCUGGCAGAGGGGGGUGGAAUUCCGCGUGUAGCAGUGAAAUGCGUAGAGAUGCGGAGGAACACCGAUGGCGAAGGCAGCCCCCUGGGCCAAUACUGACGCUCAGGCACGAAAGCGUGGGGAGCAAACAGG
rnacentral:rRNA from 1 species